rnacentral:rRNA from 1 species
CCUUUGACGUUAGCGGCGGACGGGUGAGUAACACGUGGGUAACCUACCUAUAAGACUGGGAUAACUUCGGGAAACCGGAGCUAAUACCGGAUAAUAUUUAGAACCGCAUGGUUCGAUAGUGAAAGAUGGUUUUGCUAUCACUUAUAGAUGGACCCGCGCCGUAUUAGCUAGUUGGUAAGGUAACGGCUUACCAAGGCGACGAUACGUAGCCGACCUGAGAGGGUGAUCGGCCACACUGGAACUGAGACACGGUCCAGACUCCUACGGGAGGCAGCAGUU